rnacentral:snRNA from 1 species
AGAUGUGAGGAUAAUCUGUCAGUGACGCCUUUAUCCUAUUGAUAACCAGGGUUGGUUCAGUGAAUCUAGCUCACUAGGUGGAUGUCCCCUUCCUUCUUUGGUACUCCAUGUGCAUCCCACCUGAAGUUUCAUUGUGAAUGGAAGAAGACAACCACCCCAGAUGGAUUUUGUUAUGAACUAAUAUAAACGUAAUUAAUAAAGCUUGACAACCUUGCUAGAAAAGCAGGCUCGUAAUCCUGCACUUUUGAUUGGCCCGUGAAUAGCGAGCUGGGAUUGGUC